CUGCGUCGGGAAAGCGGCCUCCCUGCUAGCGUUGACAGUGCUAGUUUGGGAGACGGUGCAUCGCUGCGCUCAACGUUCUUAAAACUUUAUUAUUUCGUAUUGGCAUGGGUCCGAGUUCAAGUCACAACAACUGCUGUAUUCUGGGAUGCAAGAGUAUUUACGGCAACUAGGAGGGGACAAGGUUUUACAGCUUGCCAACGCGGCAUUCGGAGAGGAAGCACCGCGAAGCUGUGGUACAACUGGUGCGCAAGAAAAAGCACUACCAUGCAUGACGGGACGUUCGACGGGCCGCGAUCCUGCAGCAAUGUAAAAAACUGUUUGUUUCUAUUCUCAUAGCGCAUGCAGCGAGUAAGUAGAUUGUGAAUUUAUUUCAAACCUGCGGUUCGAUUAUUUUAUGCACAAUCGGUUCAUUACUGAUUGAACAAUAAAUUGAUAUGUAAGUGCUGUCUA